rnacentral:tRNA from 1 species
GGGGCUUUAGCUCAGCUGGGAGAGCGCAGCGUUCGCAAUGCUGAGGUCAGGGGUUCGAUCCCCCUAAGCUCCACCA